AAUGAUGUAAUGAUUUAUCAACGAUUGUUUAACUUAUACGGUUUCCUUUGAGUUCGUUUUUUUUUAAAUUCUAAGAUUAUUGCUAUGCACGUUAUCUGUUUGUCUGCAUUUACAGUGUAGACAAAUUUAUUUAUUUAUUAUGUGACAUGUCUUCCUGUUGCCAAUUAAUUUAUCGAAGGUUUUAAAUCAUGUUUUUGUGAUUGUGCUGUGAUACUCUACAGUUUUAAGGAGAAAAACUCAACAAUGGAGCCAAAGGAGUACCUCACUCAUCCAAUGAACAGUGCCAGGAGUACCUCACUCUUCCAAUGAACAGCCAGGAGUACCUCACUCGUCCAAUGAACAGUGCCAGGAGUACCUCACUCGUCCAAUGAACAGUGCCAGGAGUACCUCACUCGUCCAAUGAACAGUGCCAGGAGUACCUCACUCGUCCAAUGAACAGCGCCAGGGGUACCUCACUCGUCCAAUGAACAGCGCCAGGGGUACCUCACUCGUCCAAUGAACAGUGCCAGGAGUACCUCACUCGUCCAAUGAACAGCGCCAGGGGUACCUCACUCGUCCAAUGAACAGUGCCAGGAGUACCUCACUCGUCCAAUGAACAGUGCCAGGAGUACCUCACUCGUCCAAUGAACAGUGCCAGGAGUACCUCACUCGUCCAAUGAACAGCGCCAGGGGUACCUCACUCGUCCAAUGAACAGCCAGGAGUACCUCACUCGUCCAAUGAACAGCCAGGAGUACCUCACUCGUCCAAUGAACAGCCAGGAGUACCUCACUCGUCCAAUGAACAGCGCCAGGGGUACCUCACUCGUCCAAUGAGGGCAGAGCGGAGGGCAACGCUGCCAUCACACAAGUAUUUGCUGAAAAAGAGUUUUCCUUAGUGUAUUAUUCUGACCGUGAAGAGGCAGAAGAGGACUGUUUUAAAGACAACCCUCCCACUCCACACUGCAGUGCUGUUCGGAAGAAGACGAGGAGUGGAAAGUUGGAAACAAUUGGGUAUCACUCAGAUACAGUACUUUACAUGUUUGUGGAGGUUUUAAAGUAUACCAUACAAAAGUCAGUAGUUCAAGUACAGGUUCUUAAUGAUUCUUAAUUGUCUUUGAAAUUCUUAAUGUAUUUCACAUUAGACUCUUAUCAAGACUUACAGGUUCUCAAUAAAUUAGAAUGUUGUGGAAAAGUUAAAUUAUUUCAGUAAUUCAACUCAAAUUGUGAAAUGUGUGUUACAUGAAUUUAGUACACACUGAAGUAGUUUAAGUCUUUGGUUCUUUUAAUUGUGGUGAUUUUGGUUCAUAUUUAACACAAACCCACCAAUUCAACCAAAAAUGUAAACGGUUGCAGUGACUUUGGUUUUCAAAAAACACAAUGGACCAACACCAGCAG